CCUACGGGAGGCAGCAGUGGGGAAUAUUGGGCAAUGGGCGCAAGCCUGACCCAGCAACGCCGCGUGCAGGAAGACGGCUUUCGGGUUGUAAACUUCUUUUCUCAGGGACGAAGCAAGUGACGGUACCUGAGGAAUAAGCCACGGCUAAGUACGUGCCAGCAGCCGCGGUAAUACGUAGGUGGCAAGCGUUAUCCGGAUUUACUGGGUGUAAAGGGCGUGUAGGCGGGAAAGCAAGUCAGAUGUGAAAACCAUGGGCUCAACCUGUGGCCUGCAUUUGAAACUGUUUUUCUUGAGUACUGGAGAGGCAGACGGAAUUCCUAGUGUAGCGGUGAAAUGCGUAGAGAUUAGGAGGAACACCAGUGGCGAAGGCGGUCUGCUGGACAGCAACUGACGCUGAGGCGCGAAAGCGUGGGGAGCAAACAGGAUUAGAUACCCGGGUAGUC
rnacentral:rRNA from 1 species